AGAGUUUGAUCAUGGCUCAGAACGAACGCUGGCGGCGUGGAUAAGACACGCAAGUGGGACGCUAGUCAAAGGGUAGCAAUAUUCGUUGGUUGGAGUCGCGUAAGGGUGCGUAACACGUGGGUAAUUUGCCGUGAAGCUUGGAAUAACUUGCCGAAAGGUAAGCUAAUACCGAAUGUGACUUGUGCUGGGCAUCCAGUAUCAGUCAAAGCCGGGGAUCGUAAGACCUGGCACUUCAUGAUAAGCCCGCGGCCUAUCAGCUAGUUGGUGAGGUAACGGCUCACCAAGGCUAAGACGGGUAGCUGGUCUUAGAGGACGACCAGCCACACUGGAACUGAGACAUGGUCCAGACACCUACGGGUGGCAGCAGUCGAGAAUUUUUCACAAUGGGCGAAAGCCUGAUGGAGCGACGCCGCGUGGGGGAUGAAUGGCUUCGGCCCGUAAACCCCUGUCAUUCGGGAUCAAAUCUGGCAACCUAACACGUUGUCAGUUGAUAGUACUGAAAGAGGAAGGGACGGCUAACUCUGUGCCAGCAGCCGCGGUAAUACAGAGGUCCCAAGCGUUGUUCGGAUUUACUGGGCGUAAAGGGAGCGUAGGUGGCAUUCUAAGUCUGAUGUGAAAGCUCUGAGCUUAACUCAGAAAUGGCAUUAGAAACUAGUUUGCUUGAGGAUUGGAGGGGAGAUUGGAAUUCUUGGUGUAGCAGUGAAAUGCGUAGAUAUCAAGAGGAACACCAGUGGCGAAGGCGAAUCUCUGGACAAUUCCUGACACUGAUGCUCGAAAGCUAGGGGAGCAAACGGGAUUAGAUACCCUAGUAGUCC
rnacentral:rRNA from 1 species